rnacentral:rRNA from 1 species
UCUGGUGGCGAUAGCGAAUAGGUCACACCCGUUCCCAUACCGAACACGGAAGUUAAGCUCUUUAGCGCCAAUGGUAGUUGGGACUUUGUCCCUGUGAGAGUAGGACGUUGCCAGGC